CUGAAAUAACCCCCUAUUCAACCAAGAAAUCAAUCCUAACUUGUAAAAGAAGCUAUGGACAAGAGGGCGAGAAACGCGAAAUCCUGGUGGGAGAUAGCGCUUUCUCUUUUCCCCCAGAAAGUCUCAAGGUAGCAGCUCUCCGAGAUCCUUAAGCAAGGAAACUCACCCGCCGCGCUGCGGCUUCGCGGCCAGCAGGGCUGGGACAUACUCGCCGCCCGCUUCCGCACCGGGGACAGCUCCUGCCUCUCCAACUCCCGCAGCUCUUCCCGACGUCUUGCCGCGGACUGUGCCUCACAGGCUGCGGGAGGGGAGAGUGUCUCCCCACGCCGGGGUCCCGGCCUCUGGGUUUUAGGGAGCGCGAAUGGGUCUCCGAGAGCAUCGGGAGCAGCAGGUGGCGCCUCAGGCUGCGGUGGCCACGAGACCGACUGCACUACGGCGUUGCGGGACCGCGCCAGCGCGGAGGAGACCGAGCCCAUCUCAGCAGGCCGGGCCGGACCCAGGCCUCUGACCUCAUCCACCAAGAACCUGCCAGAGUUCCUUCCGGAGUCCCACCAACAGGUGCUCAGCAGAAUCUGCACCGAGGAGCAUUGGAAAGAUCUGACCCACCUGCCAACAUCCUACCAGAACCCGAAAGUCACCAAUUGGGAUUUAUGUCUUUGGAUCCUGAAGUUUUAACCAUUGACAAUGUUGAAUUUUACCUGAGCCCUGUGCUUCUGGAAAAGAGGGAAGGUCAAGCCAUCCCCCACUGUCUUAAUCAAUUCAGGCUGCUAUAGCAAAAAAUAUCGCAGCCUGGGUGGCUUAAACAGCAAACAUUUAUUUCUCACAGUUCUGGAGGCUGGAGGUCUGAGAUCAGGGUGCCAGCAUGACUGGGUUCUGUUGAGGAACCUCUUCCUGGUUACAUCUUCACAUGGCCUUUCCCUGGUGGGUGCACCCAGGAAAAGAGAUCUCAUGUCUUCUUCUCUUUUUAUAAGAGCACUAAUCCCAUCAUGGGGGCUCUAACCUGGUCCCACCUCCAAAUACCAUUACUUUGGGGAUUAAUAUUUCAACAUAUGAAUGAGGGGGAGGGCACAAACAUCCUUUUGUGUUGUGGAAAAUGGUUUACCACAAAAAACCACCCUUCCCCAUAUGACUAAGAAAAGACUCACAGAUGCCUCCUUGCUUAUCUAUGACAAGGCUAGACACAGACCUUUCAAAUUCCAAUUUUUUGCUUCAUAAACAAACUGUUAUGAACUGUCAUGAAGGACAUAGGACAAAAUAAGAAGUUAACCAAACUUGGCUGAAUGUGGUGGCUCACACCUGUAAUCCCAGCACUUUGGGAGGAUGAGACGGAUGGAUUACUUGAGGUCAGGAGUUCAAGAGCAGCCUGGCCAACACAGCGAAACCCCUUUCUACUAAAAAUACAAAAAUUAGCCAGGCAUGGUGGUGCACACCUGUAGUCCCAGCCACUCGGGAGGCUGAGACAGGAGAAUUGCUUGAACUCAGUGGGUGGAGGCUGCAGUGAGCCGAGAUCACACCACCGCACUCCAGCCUGGGUGACAGAGCAAGGCUGUCUCAAAAAUAAAAGUAAAAAAAGAAGAAGAAGUUAACUUGGU
ensembl:lncRNA